GGUGGGAAUAAGCUCAAUGGAAGAGUAACUUGCCUAUUAUGUGGGAGGUCCUGGGUUCAAUCCCCAGUACCACCA
rnacentral:tRNA from 1 species